GUCCAACUUAGCCUAGUGUACAUGGCAUCUGCCCGGUAAGCGGAACACUGUGGGUUCGAUUCCCAUCCCUAGACA
rnacentral:tRNA from 1 species